rnacentral:rRNA from 1 species
AUGGUGGCGGCGGCUACUUGUGAUGCACGCGUAGAUAGAUGGCAUCGCCGUCCCCGUGGCCCGAAAGGUUCCUCGGUCCGGUCGUCGCUGUGGCCUCGGCGCGACGUGCCGUUCGUGGCGCUGCGUCCCCACGCCGUCGCCGCCGUGGUCCUAACUCCCACUGGACCUCCUAGGCCUCAUCAUCGCCGGCCUCCCGGACCCGGCCGAUCGCGCCCACUUCAGCUCCGUGUGCCGUUCCUGGCGCUCGCCCCCCUACCCACGGCAGCUAACUUGGGUCGACGCAGUGUGUCCGCGGGCCGCCGUUUCUCAAGAUCGUCACCCCCGACCUCCCAACGCCAGCCACCAUGGCGCCAUAUGUGGCGCUCGAUCUUCCCACCACGGCGGCAACAGCCGUGGACCGUGCUUCCCGGCGGCUUCUUCCUCGAUGACCUCGCUUCGGAGUCAUCCGACCGCGGGUCGGAAGCAGCCACCUCCUUCCCCAAGAACCUGCACCGCGUUGGCUCCACUGACAGCUGGCUCGCCUUCGACUGGACGGACGACGAGGAAAGGCAUGCAUACUUCUUGCACAACCCUUUCUCAAGGGCAACCGUGCUGCUCCCGGAGCUGGACGCCGUCGUCGGUGAUGUCUCCGAGUUGUUUAGGAUCCGCAAGGUGCUCAUGCGAUCGACCCCCGAUGACCUCAUCGUGGGAAUCACCAAGGACCAGGAACUUAUCUCCCUCCCCAUCACCUUUGACGAUGUGCACGACAUACCCAUGGCUACCACUAUUGAGCAGCUCAUCUGGACCAACAUUGAUGCUGCUGCUCAUGUGGCAGGAGAUGACGAGAACGAAGACGGAAACAACAAAGGCUAUGCGGGUGACGAGCAAAACAACGAUGAGGCUAAGAAUGAUAAGGAUGAGCUUCUUCUUAGCGAAGAGGACAACGCCAAACGUCGUAAUCAUGUCAAAUCGAUGUUAAAAGCUAGGGAUGGCAUGAUAGGCACCAACAUCCAAUUUGAAUCCGACCAUAUCAUCUUUCGGUACUUGGUCGAGUCGUGCGGGAAGCUUCUCAUGGUGAUACGAGAAGCCGAUAGCCCGAGAUUGACUUAUAAGGUGGAGGUUUUUGUGGUCGAUUUCAAUGUCCUUGAAUGGGUUCCGAUCUCUGGCGGCGGGCUAGGUGGCCAGACGCUUUUCAUCAGCAAACUCUUCAGUAAGUCUGUUUUAGCUCGCGGGGAGGCACGCCAACAGACAUCACAUAUAAUCAACUCGUCGUCCAUGAAGAACAAUGGGGAUGAAAACUUCCAGACUACUCGGCAAUGCCGCGCGAUGCCGCUUCCUCUUUUUGUGAGGUUGCCCCCAUUACCGUUGGAGCGACGUCUCCACGACACCAAAACCUACCCCCUCAGUCCUAAAAUAAGUUUCCCUCCCAUCCUCCCUAUGGGCCCGUCGACCGACCAUCGUACUUGGCAGGCCAACACACCGAGGCUUCGGUGCCUUAUGAUGUGGACCUGGUGUUGUUCGACGAAAAGAAAAGGUAUUAUUGUUGAUAUAGCAUCUCCUUACCCCGGGUAA